GGAGGAAGUGCGCCCUGACCCCACCACGAACGGCGCAGAGACACGGGGCGCAGCUGUGAGCACUUUUUAUUUCACAGGUGGCCCAGCGGCCCCGGCCUCCUGAGCAGGGCGCCCUCCUCCCCCGGGGCAGCCGAAGGCGGAACGAGAGGAAAUGAGCUUCACGAAGUUGUCGUUGAGCGCGAUGCCAGCUUUAGCAUCGAAGAUGGAAGAGUGGGUAUUACCGAUAAAGUCGGUAGAGACAACCUGGGUGUGAGAAUUUCGAAGUUUCUACAAUAGGGGUUAACUGAAGCUCGAGGCCACCCUGAGGUCAGCAGUGGUUAGUGGUUUACAUCAGAAAGAUUCUGAACAUAUCCAUAAAUGGAAGAGGAAAAUGAAUACCAGUGAGAACCAUGUGAAUGGGUACUAAGAAGCAUUGCUCAGGUGUAAGAGGUGCUGGAUCGGGGUCCCAGGAGGAAAAAAAAAAGCCCCCGUGGCUGCUGUGUAGGAACUGGGUAGAAGUGCUUGGCCAGGUGGCGUUGCUGUUUCCUGGGAAGGGAGAUGAACAUGUUUGGGGAUUGAAGGAAAAUCAAGAGGCGUGCAUCAGACAGCUGCCCUUACCACUGGAAGACACUGAUCUCUUGGUUAUUCACAACCAGCCGUCCGUUUUUGUAUUCCACAGUCCCCUUGUAUCGGCCAUGGGUGGAGUCAUACUUAAACAUGUACGCCUGCGGGAGACAGAAUGGUUCCUCAUCUUGGGGGUGGCAGGGGUGGGGGAGCGAGCGUCCCUGAGGAAUCCCUGCCUUGGUGAAGGUUCCACAUUGCACUUGGGAGCCUCCCCACCCUGAUCCUACCCUCUGUCAGCUGCUCACCAUGUACUCUGGGUCAAUGAAUGGAUCAUUCACUGCCACCACCUUAAUGCCUUUGUCCAUGCAGGCACGCAUCACCAGGCGACCGAUACGUCCAAAUCUGUCCAGGGACAAGGGUUGUGGGAUUGUCUUCAGAAUCCUCGGCCAGCAGGCAGAGGAAGGGAUAGGAAAG